GGCGAAUCGCCCAGCGGUAGGGCACGAGUGACGAUCUCGAGACGCGGGUUCGAAUCCCGCUUCGCUCU
rnacentral:tRNA from 1 species